ACCUUACUUUACAGGUGAUUUGAUUAUGUACAAAAAAUGUACAAUGUAAAUAAAUUGAACCAAGUAAUGUACUAAAAUAUGCUAUGUUAUAAUUUAAAACUCGUUAUGUUAGUCUUUUGAAAAAAAUUAAACUCAAAAGAGAUAUACUUGUUUACAGUGCAAAUUAAGGGCAAUAAUAGGGAUUUACGAUUUAAUUUGCAGGAAAAACAUGGGCAACCUACCCAAUUGGUAAAAUUUCAAUUCAAAAACUCUUUAGAUUUUACUGUGUGGAUGUCACAGGAAGAGAAACAAAAUAAUAUUCAGUCACAGGAGUACAAGAACAUGAAACA